rnacentral:rRNA from 1 species
CCUAGGGGAGGCAGCAGUGGGGAAUAUUGCACAAUGGGGGAAACCCUGAUGCAGCAACGCCGCGUGAGUGAUGAAGGUCUUCGGAUUGUAAAGCUCUGUCUUUUGGGACGAUAAUGACGGUACCAAAGGAGGAAGCCACGGCUAACUACGUGCCAGCAGCCGCGUAAU